rnacentral:rRNA from 1 species
UACGUAGGGUGCAAGCGUUGUCCGGAAUUAUUGGGCGUAAAGAGCUCGUAGGCGGUUUGUCGCGUCGGCUGUGAAAACUCGGGGCUCAACCCCGAGCCUGCAGUCGAUACGGGCAGACUAGAGUGCUGUAGGGGAGACUGGAAUUCCUGGUGUAGCGGUGAAAUGCGCAGAUAUCAGGAGGAACACCGGUGGCGAAGGCGGGUCUCUGGGCAACAACUGACGCUGAGGAGCGAAAGCGUGGGGAGCGAACAGG